rnacentral:rRNA from 1 species
AGUUCGGAUCGCAGGCUGCAACCCGCCUGCGUGAAGCCGGAAUUGCUAGUAAUCGUAGGUCAGCAUACUACGGUGAAUACGUUCCCGGGCCUUGUACACACCGCCCGUCAAACCAUGAGAGUUGGCAACACCCGAAGUCGGUAGUCUAACCGCAAGGAGGACGCCGCCGAAGGUGGGGUUGAUGAUUAGGGUUAAGUCGUAACAAGGUAGC